rnacentral:rRNA from 1 species
AAUUCGAUUGAGUUUGAUCAUGGCUCAGGACGAACGCUGGCGGCGCGCUUAACACAUGCAAGUCGAGCGAGAACCAGUCCUUCGGGACUGGGGAAAGCGGCGAACGGGUGAGUAACACGUGGGUAAUCGACCCUCGGCACCGGGAUAGCCCGGGGAAACCCGGAUUAAUACCGGAUGGCCUUUCGAGUUUUCGGACUCGUCAGAAAAGGUAGCUUCGGCCUCCGGCCGAGGACGAGCCCGCGGCGGAUUAGCUUGUUGGUGGGGUAAAGGCCUACCAAGGCUACGAUCCGUAGCUGGUCUGAGAGGAUGAUCAGCCACACUGGGACUGAGACACGGCCCAGACUCCUACGGGAGGCAGCAGUGGGGAAUCUUGCGCAAUGCGGGAAACCGUGACGCAGCGACGCCGUGUGCGGGAAGAAGGCCUUCGGGUUGUAAACCGCUUUCAGGAGGGACGAAGCUACUCGGGUUAAUAGCCCAGAGGGUGACGGUACCUCCAGAAGAAGCCCCGGCUAACUACGUGCCAGCAGCCGCGGUAAUACGUAGGGGGCAAGCGUUGUCCGGAUUUAUUGGGCGUAAAGAGCGUGUAGGCGGCUAGAUAGGUCCGCUGUGAAAACUCGGGGCUCAACCUCGAGACGUCGGCGGAAACCAUUUGGCUAGAGUCCGGAAGAGGAGAGUGGAAUUCCUGGUGUAGCGGUGAAAUGCGCAGAUAUCAGGAAGAACACCCGUGGCGAAAGCGGCUCUCUGGGACGGUACUGA